rnacentral:lncRNA from 1 species
CCGGCAUGGUCCUCUGAGAGCAGGCGACAGCCAGGCGCCUGAUGCUGGAGAGAAAGGGGCAGACGGGCCUGCCAGCAGCUGACUUUUUUAUUAAGGUCAAAUCCACCCCUUAAAACAUUUCAAGGGUACAAUUUAGGGCUUUUCAGUGCAUUCACAUAGUUGUGCAACCAUCACCUUGAUCUUGUUCCAGAACAUUCCAUCACCCUAAAAAGAAGCCCUUUCCCCAUGAGCAGUCCCUCCCCAGCCCCUGGCCCCCACGAGCCUGCUCUCUGUCUGUGGAUCGGCCUGUUCUGGAUGUUUCAUGUCAAUGGGGUCACACACCGUGUGUCCUUCUGUGUCUGCUUCUCUCUCUGAGCGUCGCGUGUUCAGGUCCGUCCACGUGUGGCCAUGUCAGGGCCUCGCUCCUCUUCACGGCUGCGUCGUGUCCCAGUGUGUGGAGGGACACGUGUGUGUGUCCAUCAUCUGGUGAUGGAUGUUUGGGUUGUGUCCACUUUUUAGCUCUCGUGACUCGUGCUGCCGUGGACAUUCAGGAGUAAGCGUCUGUGUGGACACAUGUCUUCAUUUCUCCCGUGUGGUCACAGGGCUGAAGUGCCAGGUGGUCCUCAGCCGGACGCCGUCUCCCGGGGUCUGCCCCACGCUGGCUCUGGGGCGCGGUGAGCUCUCUCGGGCACCGUGGCCAGCUCUGGGGCCCCUGAAGCCAUGGGGGGCUGCUCCUCCAUCCUCCAGGACCCCCACGGGGCCUGCACGGGAGCCCAGCGCCCUGUGGACCGCAGACACUGACGAGGUGGAGGCCGGGCUGCAGCGUCCACCCCGGGGGAGGUCGGCGUCUCUCGACUGGCCUCCUGUCGCCUUGGGCACCCUCCCCGGGGCUCUGCGCCCGAUGCGCACACGGGAGGUCCCGCUGCCCCAGGUGGCUGUGGGUGAUGCUCACCGGAGGCCGGGUUCCCCAGUGCGGCUCUGGGCCCGCGCCCUCUGUCCCCUGGGAAGCCGGGGCAGAAACCCGAACCUCGGCCUCGUUGGGGCCAGUGGGGCCCAGGCCUCGCCCUCCCCCCUCC